rnacentral:rRNA from 1 species
AUUGAACGCUGGCGGCAGGCUUAACACAUGCAAGUCGAGCGAGCGGCGGACGGGUGAGUAAUGUCUGGGAAACUGCCUGAUGGAGGGGGAUAACUACUGGAAACGGUAGCUAAUACCGCAUACCAUCAGAUGUGCCCAGAUGGGAUUAGCUAGUAGGUGGGGUAAUGGCUCACCUGGGCGACAAUCCCUAGCUGGUCUGAGAGGAUGACCAGCACCACUGGAGCUGGUACACGGUCCGGCUGCCUACGGGGGGCAGAAGUGGGGAUUAUUGCACAAUGGGCGCAAGCCUGAUGCAGCCAUGCGGCGUGGGGGAGGAAGGCCUUCGGGUUGUAAAGCACUUUCAGCGAGGAGGCGUUACUCGCAGAAGAAGCAACGGCUAACUCCGUGCCAGCAGCCGCGGUAAUAC